rnacentral:rRNA from 1 species
GGAUCAAUACAUCGGUCGUGCUUCGGUACGUACUGGCGUAAUUGAUUUCUCCCUUCUGACGAACCAUGAUGUCAUUAACUUGGUGUCAUGGGAAAUCAGGACUGUUACUUUGAAAAAAUUAGAGUGUUUAAAGCAGGCUCACGCUUGAACACAUUAGCAUGGAAUAAUGAAGUAGGACGUUCGAUCCUAUUUUGUUGGUUUCUAGGAUUGACGUA